AUGCAAGGACCAGAACUGGUUGACUCGAGGAGUCGUUUUCGAUUUAUUGAAUCCUGUCUCGGCUUGAUGGGCUGUUUGUGCAUCAGCUAUGCGAUCUGGACACCUUGGUGGCUGGAUGAGCAGGGUCUGUGGACCUCAGGGAAUCAGACCAGACUGGACGACAGCUGGACUACUGAAGACAUUACUAAAGCUCUGGAGGCUGAGAGAGUGUUUGCAGUGGUGGCUUUCCUCAUGUCGGUGAGCUCUGGACUGCUGUGUCUCAUGUUCGCUCUCUGUUGGAGGUCUCAAACUGUGCAUUCCUACUCGAACACUCGCUCGCUGCUGAUGGCAGGCCAGGCACUUGACCCGAGCACUCUGCUGCUGCUUACACUAGUACCUUCAGGAUUUUUCUUUUUUCUCAGCUGGGCGCUUUUUACCCAUCAACAUAUUGGUGAGAUCAGGGAUGACGUCAGUCGACUCGGCCUGUCCUAUUGGCUGGGAGUGGUGGGUUGGGCUUCGCUAUUGGCCGUGCUGCCUGUGGUCUUCCUGGCGGAGAAGUUUGUGGUUCCUGACAUCCUGCCGGAGUUAAAAAAGACUGCAGAAAUGUGGUGGAAGGCUCCCGAGGUUGCACACGCGCGAUCGUUUAGUGAGGGUUUCUAUCAUUCACAGCAUAAGUCUCAUCCUGACGUUAGGAGGUAUUUGUCAGUGCCUUGAACGAGAGGAAGGAGGUAGCAAGAAAAUACAAAAGAGAAGAGACUCUUGUCUCGCUGGUAUUCUAGCCAACUAUAUGAGCUGAGCAAAUGUCUCACAACAGGGGUUGAUGACCUGCAUGAGAAACCUGUAACUGCUUUCUGGGAUGUGGGACACAAAGCUACAGGUUAUAAGGUUGUGCGCUGGCCUUGACAGUGGUAUCACAGCUGUAUUUGGACGAGGACACCCAAAAAUGUGGUUAAUGGUAUACCAGAGUUCACUAUCUGUGUGAGACAUAAAGCUGAAAGGAUCUUGAUGUUGCAGACUAUUUCUCCAUAACUUUUUAUAGCCGUUGUCUGCAAUUGUACAGUGACUUCAGGGAGGUCUUUUUUUUAAAUGCAUUUUAAAUAUGCUGAAUUAUUGACUAUAAAUGUAAAUAAUUUUCAUGGCAUAAAUCUGUUGUGGUUUGUUCAGCUGUGCCUAUAGCACAGUUAACUAAACAUGAGUUAUAUAUAUAUAUAUAUAUAUAUAUAUAUAUAUAUAUAUAUAUAUAUAUAUAUAUAUAUACACAUACACAACACUAAAAUUUAUAUAUAUAUAUAAGACACUAAAAUAGUGUCUUAAGUAAUGCUACUGCUGUUAUGGUUACCUCGAAUGCAUUAAUUAGCUCCAUAUUUAGCAAGAAAUGAAAAUAUGUGUUUUGACUGACUUUUAAAGUUAUUGAAACAUUAAAAAAAAAAUGGUGGUGAUCAUUUAAUUCCAGAUUGUUCUGCCCGUGCUCAGUUUUGCAGACAAUACUGAUUCAAAUAGCCACAGAGCACUUUUGACCUGCUAACACUUCUAGGUGCUUAUGCAGAAUUUAACACUACUAGAUGGUGCUACAAUUGUUUUUGUUUUUUGCGUCUCUUGUCUUUUUUUAUGCGGAAACAGUGCUCUCUACUGGCGAUAGUACAAAGAGCAUCCUGUUCUGUCUAUCAUUUGCAUUUUUAAAGCUCUAUUAAUUAUACUUUUUGUACUGUUUUUAACCAAUAAAUAAAAUGGUUAUCAUAUAAAGCUGAGUCAGUACCUAUCUAUCUAUCUAUCUAUCUAUCUAUCUAUCUAUCUAUCUAUCUAUCUAUCUAUCUAUCUAUCUAUCUAUCUAUCUAUCUAUCUAUCUAUCUAUCUAUCUAUCUAAUCAAAACAUCUGAGACCGUAUUGUAGGAGUGAUUUUUGAUUUCUUAUUAUUUAGUACUUGUUUGUUUUAUUUCAGUACCAUUAUACUAAUUCUAAAAAAAAAAAAAACGUUAGUAAUUUUGUUGUUUUCUCAUUUCAUUUCAUUAAAUAUAUAAUAUAUAAUAAAUAUAAAUACAUUUAUUAUUUUUUUUAUUUUUAUUAUUGAGUUUAAAAAUUUAGUUACUAUUUUCAACUUAAAGGGAUAGUUUACCCUAAAAUGAAAACUCUGACAUUGAUUACACACCUGAGGAUGAUUAAUUAAUUUUUUGGGUGUUUUCAUUUUUGGGUGAACUAUCCCUUUAAACUUAUUUGCCAUGACAACAUGUAAAGGUUUUGGAGCAAGAACUACAAAAUUAAUAUUAAUUCUAUACUAUAUUUACCAUGUGCACUUAAAAAUAAUAAUAGACAAAUACACAAUAGAUACCUUUUCACUAGUGGUUCCAUGACUUCUGGAACUCACUGCAUGCAGACCAUUAAAAUUAUACAGGGAAACAAGUAUUGUCUGAGACUGAGGUCAUGCCCUCUGUCAUUAUGUUCUUCAUUAUCAUGGAGACAAAACUGAGACUGAGAGCUUUCUGAACCUGUAGUGUUUACAUUCAUAUCCCACCCAAGAUGAGAUGAAUGAACUGGCUGUGUUAAUUGCACAUAAAUCAGUUGCGGGUGUAAUUAAAAGGCAGUUCCAUCCUUUUAGCAGUGCCUAAUGAGUUUGUUAUUAAAUCCAGAAAACUUUUUUUUAUUCUUUUUUUUUCUUUACUAUCAGAAAAGCACCUAAUUGGCCUCCUCAGAACCGAACUUGAGUGUCCUUGAAAGUUAUGACGGCAGGGAGCUUGAGAGCGUACUGGUUGACAUCACCACCUCCCACAAAGGGAGUAUAAAAGCUACUCUGUGCGAAAGGUGUGUGUGUCCUGGACAUAAGCGGGCACUUAAAUAAUCGUUUGAGGAGAAUUUCAGAGCAGUGCGGCUCUCAGAGGAUCUCAGUUGUCCACACAAUGCUGCCAUGCAGGUGUGCCCUUUUUUAUGCUGUGUACACUUUUUAGUGUUAUUUACAAUUGUUUGUUCCCAGGCGAGGACCUCUUUUUUCUUCUUAAAAGACAGAUAACUUUAGCCUGUCCUGAAGUGUCCCUGAUGAGCAGGGCAAAUGCUGGUCAAAAUGAACUUCUGGUUCCUCUUUACAAAAACUUGCCAUGGUUACUGUAGUUUACAGCCAAAGUUUCUACAAUAAUGUGUGGUAACGUGGUAUUAUUAGCCACCACUGGCAUCAUUAUAAUUGACUACCUGUCUCUCCAGCAGGUCCCUGUUCCCCCGCAAAGAAGAC
ensembl:lncRNA